UUCCUGGUUCAGGAUUAGAAACAGGGACUGAGGUUCAGCACAGUGUACUGGUUUUACUGGUUCAGGAUUAGAAACAGGGACUGAGAUCCAGCACAGUGUACUGGUUUUACUGGUUCAGGAUUAGAAACAGGGGCUGAGGUCCAGCACAGUGUACUGGUUUUACUGGUUCAGGAUUAGAAACAGGGGCUGAGGUUCAGCACAGUGUACUGGUUUUACUGGUUCAGGAUUAGAAACAGGGGCUGAGGUCCAGCACAGUGUACUGGUUUUACUGGUUCAGGAUUAGAAA